UAUACUUGACUUGAUUAUAUACAUGACAUUACUGAAUUCUGGCUGGUUGAAGAGCCUCUAGCUCUGCCUGAUAAAUGGCUCGUAUAUUGUACUAAUUGUACUCCAGUGUAAUAAACAAAUCAAGGUGGGGUGGGACAGUAAGCUUUUUAUUCCAGAAGCGUAGCCAGGAUUUUUGGUCAGAGGGGGCCAGCAAAAACCCAGGUGGGGCCAAGCCGCCAGUAACUCGAGACGCAAAGUUCGCGCAAGAAAAAAUUUCCGGACCACACAACCAGGGUUUAUUUUAACGUGCAGUUCUACACAAAAUGUG